UUCAAUCCAUCUACUUUGCUCAGCGGCAAGCUUCUACUUCCCAUAAUUAAACAGACACUUGGCCAAACAGAUGAAAGGGGGAAGAUGGGUAAAGCUGGAGCGCCUGUGCAGCUGUGUGGGCGAUAUCGCCACUGGUGUUGGCAUCUUCAACACAGGGAAUCUGCCACCAUCCAUUCCAAGCAGCAGGUAAUGGAUUGAGCUCAGGACCUGAUCUGGCUAUGGAUGAGCUAGCCUGAAGGUGUGUGAGUGGGUGUUCAAAUAGAUUUGGAGAAGCUCGCCUAGAAUAUCACACUGUUUUUUUUUUUUUUUUCUUCUUCAGGUUGUUAGGUUUGUUGUCAGCGCCAAGCCUCUACCCAACCUCAAUUCUUCCUUCAAAGACAAAAACAUCACAGCGGGGUGCUAAGAUCUCACUGUCAGGCUGGUUUAGGGACAUUUUGAUGUGAUAUUGGAGUCUUUAAUCCCACCAGCGAUGGAAAAUUUACAGCUCUACAUUUAAGAGCCAUUUUCAUUUGAUGGAAAAAAAAAAAAAAAAAUUAAAUGUUCUGAUUAAAAAAACAUUGUUGUCAGUUAUAAAUCUGCCAUGGUGAUUAAAUUGUAGAACUAAAGGGCUUUUUAGCCAAAAACAACAAAAAACAUGUAAACUGUUAUCUGUCUUUUUUUUUUGUAUUUUUCUCAUUUAAGUUCCAAAAGUUAGAAAGUUAAAUGGAAUAUAGUAAAGAUAAAACCUGCAGACCCCAAACAGGUCCAUGCAACUAAGACAGGGGUCUGCAACCUGCGGCUCCAGAGCCACAUGUGGCUCUUUUAUCUCUCCGUAGUGGCUCUCUGGCUGAAAAAAAUAAAAUAAUAGUAAAUUAAAAAAAAAAAAAAAAUGGAGAUUUGCUAUUAUUUUAGCAACAUACUAACGUUUUUGGCUAAUUUGUUUUCUAGUGGGGUUUUUUAGGCUAAGUUAGUUUACUGAGGAAUUCUAUGCUAAUUUAGAGUUUAGCUAAUUUUUAGUUAAAUGCUGAUGUUUUUAGCUAAUUUUUAUCUACUGAAUUUUUUUUUAUAAUUUUAAAUUUAGCUUCUAUUUUAGCAAAAUUCUAACAUUUUUGACUAAGUUGGUUUACUGAGGAAUUUGAGGCUAUUUUGGAGUUCAGCAAGGAGUUAAGC
rnacentral:lncRNA from 1 species